rnacentral:rRNA from 1 species
CCUACGGGUGGCAGCAGUGAGGAAUAUUGGUCAAUGGACGCAAGUCUGAACCAGCCAUGCAGCGUGCAGGAAGACGGCCCUAUGAGUUGUAAACUGCUUUUGUAAGAGGGUAAACUCAGACACGCGUACCUUUCUGAAUGUACCGUACGAAUAAGGAUCGGCUAACUCCGUGCCAGCAGCCGCGGUAAUACGGAGGAUUCAAGCGUUAUCCGGAUUUAUUGGGUUUAAAGGGUGCGUAGGCGGUCUGUUAAGUUAGUGGUGAAAGCUCGCGGCUCAACUGCGGAAUUGCCUUUGAUACUGGCAGGCUAGAGUGUAGUUGCGGUAGGCGGAAUGUAUGGUGUAGCGGUGAAAUGCUUAGAGAUCAUACAGAACACCGAUUGCGAAGGCAGCUUACCAAGCUGCUUCUGACAUUGAGGCACGAAAGCGUGGGGAGCAAACAGGAUUAGAUACCCGUGUAGUC